rnacentral:rRNA from 1 species
ACGGAAGGCAGCAGUGGGGAAUAUUGCACAAUGGGCGAAAGCCUGAUGCAGCGACGCCGCGUGAGUGAAGAAGUAUUUCGGUAUGUAAAGCUCUAUCAGCAGGGAAGAAAAUGACGGUACCUGACUAAGAAGCCCCGGCUAACUACGUGCCAGCAGCCGCGGUAAUACGUAGGGGGCAAGCGUUAUCCGGAUUUACUGGGUGUAAAGGGAGCGCAGACGGCGUGACAAGUCUGAAGUGAAAGCCUGGGGCUCAACCCCGGAACUGCUUUGGAAACUGCCAGGCUAGAGUGCUGGAGAGGCAAGCGGAAUUCCUAGUGUAGCGGUGAAAUGCGUAGAUAUUAGGAAGAACACCAGUGGCGAAGGCGGCUUGCUGGACAGUAACUGACGUUCAGGCUCGAAAGCGUGGGGAGCAAACAGGAUUAGAUACCCUGGUA